CCGGCGACCGGCGCACGGGUGAGUAACACGUAUGCAACCUGCCCUCUUCAGGGGGACAACCUUCCGAAAGGGAGGCUAAUCCCGCGUAUAUCGGUUUCGGGCAUCCGAGAUCGAGGAAAGAUUCAUCGGAAGAGGAUGGGCAUGCGGCGCAUUAGCUAGACGGCGGGGUAACGGCCCACCGUGGCGACGAUGCGUAGGGGUUCUGAGAGGAAGGUCCCCCACACUGGUACUGAAACACGGACCAGACUCCUACGGAAGGCAGCAG
rnacentral:rRNA from 1 species